GAACGCUGGCGGCGUGCCUAACACAUGCAAGCCGAACGAAGCUUGACGGAUGAUUUCUUCGGAAUGAAACUAGAUAUGACUUAGUGGCGGACGGGUGAGUAACACGUGAGCAACCUGCCUUUCAGAGGGGGAUAACGGCUGGAAACGGUCGCUAAUACCGCAUGAUGUGUUCGGAUGGCAUCAUCUGAACAUCAAAGAUUUAUCGCUGAAAGAUGGGCUCGCGUCUGAUUAGAUAGUUGGUGGGGUAACGGCCUACCAAGUCUACGAUCAGUAGCCGGACUGAGAGGUUGAACGGCCACAUUGGGACUGAGAUACGGCCCAGACUCCUACGGGAGGCAGCAGUGGGGAAUAUUGCACAAUGGGGGAAACCCUGAUGCAGCAACGCCGCGUGAAGGAUGACGGUUUUCGGAUUGUAAACUUCUUUUCUUAGUGACGAAGACAGUGACGGUAGCUAAGGAAUAAGCAUCGGCUAACUACGUGCCAGCAGCCGCGGUAAUACGUAGGAUGCAAGCGUUAUCCGGAUUUACUGGGUGUAAAGGGAGCGCAGGCGGGACUGCAAGUUGGAUGUGAAAUACCGUGGCUUAACCACGGAACUGCAUCCAAAACUGUAGUUCUUGAGUGAAGUAGAGGCAAGCGGAAUUCCGAGUGUAGCGGUGAAAUGCGUAGAUAUUCGGAGGAACACCAGUGGCGAAGGCGGCUUGCUGGGCUUUAACUGACGCUGAGGCUCGAAAGUGUGGGGAGCAAACAGGAUUAGAUACCCUGGUAGUCCACACUGUAAACGAUGAUAGCUAGGUGUGGGGGGUCUGACCCCUUCCGUGCCGGAGUUAACGCAAUAAGCUAUCCACCU
rnacentral:rRNA from 1 species